ACUCAAAGGAAUUGACGGGGGCCCGCACAAGCGGCGGAGCAUGUGGCUUAAUUCGAUGCAACGCGAAGAACCUUACCAGGGCUUGACAUGCCGGGAAAUCCCGUGGAGACGCGGGGUCCGCAAGGGUCCGGCACAGGUGGUGCAUGGCUGUCGUCAGCUCGUGUCGUGAGAUGUUGGGUUAAGUCCCGCAACGAGCGCAACCCCCGUCCCAUGUUGCCAGCGGGUAACGCCGGGGACUCAUGGGAGACUGCCGGGGUCAACUCGGAGGAAGGUGGGGACGACGUCAAGUCAUCAUGCCCCUUACGCCCUGGGCUGCACACAUGCUACAAUGGCCGGUACAAUGGGCUGCGAGGCCGUGAGGCGGAGCGAAUCCCAAAAAGCCGGUCUCAGUUCGGAUCGGGGUCUGCAACUCGACCCCGUGAAGCCGGAGUCGCUAGUAAUCGCAGAUCAGCAGUGCUGCGGUGAAUACGUUCCCGGGCCUUGUACACACCGCCCGU
rnacentral:rRNA from 1 species